CGGGGUGACGAUCUUUCAGGGCGGAACCAAAAGUUGAGGAAGUUUUGGUUCCGCCCGGAUGUUUCCGUCCAGACCGGAAAGACGGGAACACCGGACAUCCGGCAGAUUCGCGGAGGCUGUAAUCAGCCGAUUGGGCACAGCUGUGCCUAGUUGAAGAGAUCGCCGGGCAAUUGGAUGAUUGAGGAACAGAGAGGAGUAUAUAAAGCACAGUUAGAACACAGUUAGGUGUGCUUAGUGUGUGCUGGGAAACGGAGCUGUGCUCAUUGUUGGACGUGGUGGUUGUUUGUGUUUCUCUCUCUCCCUCUCUCUCGUUGUAAAUCUUUAUUGUGGACCUGCUGGAGUGAACAGGAAAACCCUAUGGGCAGGAAGGAACGCUGUUCUAACCAAUACUGAAGGAGUAAAGCAGGAAGAAAAAUUGACCUUCUGGUACAACGUAAACAAAGGCUAUUCGCCGUGAGUAUACCCUUUUCUGUGUGGAGUAACUGGCAAAAGUUAACUUGUGUAACUAUUGGAAACCUCCAGGAGAAGGAGGGCGGCCCUACCCCUAUAAGAGUGUGGUGGGCGAGCCGUGAGAAGUCAAACUUCAAACAGCCGCCGCAACGAGACUUAUUGUGGUCGUAUUUCCCAUCGCCUUAUCGUAGCCCAAGCGCAGUGGAGGACACCGGGCGCUUCCCUUGUUGUGGUGCACUUAUAGUGUGGUGAGUGAGACUGUGUAAUAAAUCUUUUUCACGUUUGGAGUGGUGCUGUGUAUUGCUGUGGGUUGCUGUGUGUCUUGUAGACGAAGCCCCGCAUCAUCCAAUUUCUUCCACUGGGCAGAGGACGGAGAGGCCAACGACUACAGAAAUCACUGUUAUUAUACGUAGUGUGCUGUUUGGAGUACGAAGGGACACAGACUGAGAGCUGUCCGUGACCGUGAGUAAACCAUUGGAAACUUUCGUGGUGUAUACUUACCUGUGUCUGUUUUGUCGCAGAGUCAGAGGCGAAAGGGUCCGCCGCCCCGUGGUCUCUACGAAAAGGGCGCCCCCGUCUAGGAAUCGAUCGGCCCAUGGGCAUUGGAGAUAGGGCAGCGCUCGACCCGGUGAAGUGGUGUGGGACCUUUUCGCCCCUCUGCUGACCUACGGAGGAGAACCAUAACUACCCAGAAAGCUGUAAACAGCAGAGCCGGUGAGGAAUACUUGAAGUCUCAGUAACAGUGUCUUUGUGUCCUAGCGACCACCUGUGUAGAGAGAGAGAGAACGAGAGUGAAUCAUUGAAGAGCAAACUGUGGACGUGAUACCUACCCAGAAAGCUGUAAACAGCAGAGCCGGUGAGAAAUACGUGAAGUCUCAGUAACAGUGUCUUUGUGUCCUAGCGACCACCUGUGGAGAGAGAGAGAGAACGAGAGUGAAUCAUUGAAGAGCAAACUGUGAACGUGAUACUUACCCAGAAAGCUGUAAACAGCAGAGCCGGUGAGAAAUACUCGAAGUCUCAGUAACAGUGUCUUUGUGUUCUAGCGGCCACCUGUGGAGAGAGAGAGAACGAGAGUGAAUCAUUGAAGAGCAAACUGUGAACGUGAUACCUACCCAGAAAGCUGUAAACAGCAGAGCCGGUGAGAAAUACUCGAAGUCUCAGUAACAGUGUCUUUGUGUUCUAGCGGCCACCUGUGGAGAGAGAGAGAACGAGAGUGAAUCAUUGAAGAGCAAACUGUGAACGUGAUACCUACCCAGAAAGCUGUAAACAGCAGAGCCGGUGAGAAAUACUCGAAGUUUCAGUAACAGUGUCUUUGGGUCCUAGCGGCCACCUGUGGAGAGAGAACAGGACGAGAGUGAAUCAUUGAAGAGCAAACUGUGAACGUGAUACCUACCCAGAGAGCUGUAAGCAGCAGAACCGUGACUAUCUGUGGGGCACAAGGCGAACGUGGGCGGACGUACGACAGGGAACGUAAGGGCACGUGGGGCGAGGACCCCCUGCCGACCCGAGGAAAGAUACACCGACAGUGGAGAUCCUCCUUACCAGUCACACCAAAAUUAUUCUGCCUCCAGGACGGAAGAAGGAGGGCGCCACGGUUAGCAGGGUCCAGGCCGGAGCCUGACGUUUCCCUUUCUCCCCCGGCUUAUGGUGGUUGGCACCCCUGUUGCCCUUGGCCUGUCUGCCCGUGGCUGCAGUCUCCCUGGAGGGAGACGAAGAGACCUAUUAGUUUUAAAUUCCCCUUUCCCCCAAAUUCCCAGUUCUUUUAGAUAUUUAAACUAAAUAAAGCUUGUUUUAAAUUUUA